AUCUGAAGAUGAUGAUGAGGAUGAUGAUGAUGAUGAAGAUGACAAGUUAUGGUGUUCAACUUUAUCAUCAACUUUACCAUUUGUU
rnacentral:miRNA from 1 species